rnacentral:rRNA from 1 species
AUACGUAGGGGGCGAGCGUUGUCCGGAAUGAUUGGGCGUAAAGGGCGCGUAGGCGGCCCGGUAAGUCUGGAGUGAAAGUCCUGUUUUUAAGAUGGGAAUUGCUUUGGAUACUGUCGGGCUUGAGUGCAGAAGAGGUAAGCGGAAUUCCCAGUGUAGCGGUGAAAUGCGUAUAGAUUGGGAGGAACACCAGUGGCGAAGGCGGCUUACUGGGCUGUAACUGACGCUGAGGCGCGAAAGCGUGGGGAGCGAACAGGAUUAGAUACCCUGGUAGUCCACGCGGUAAACGAUGAAUGCUAGGUGUUGCGGGUAUCGACCCCUGCAGUGCCGGAGUAAACACAAUAAGCAUUCCGCCUGGGGAGUACGGCCGCAAGGUUGAAACUCAAAGGAGUUGACGGGG